AGUGUUGUACAUGGAUAGUGGAAGAAGGUCUACCAUAUCUGACGUCGCUUCCUGCCCAGAGCAAGACACUUGCUGACGCUGUCAGACAAAAGAUUAACUUCGAAAACGAAUUCUAUAAGCCCGUGAAGGUAAGUUGUUUAUUCAUUAGAUGGAGUUUUAAACGCAAGAAUCUUACAGCUAGCUUGUCAACAAGAUGUAUUCGCGCUGCUUGUUCGCAGUUGUUGACAAGUCUGGAACAAGUUGUUAUCAUCUUGUGACAAGGUUGAUGAGGCCAACAGACUUGCAGGAAGUUGUUUCAACAAAUCUGAUAUCGUUUACACGUACUCGUAGUAACUUGUUACGAACAGCCUGUUUAGUCUUGUUGGAACAACUUACAGCUACACACGUAUAAACUAAAAACGCACAAGUUGUUACAGGUCUGCAAACAAGUUGUUACAAGUCUAUUCACAAGUUGUGUUCGCACUGCUUGUUCCCAGUUAUUGUAACAAGUUUGGAACAAAUUGUUAACAACUUGUAACAAGCUUGAUUCCACUAUUCACACUUGCUACAAGGUUCUAAUAAGUCUGAUACAGUUAUGAUGUAACAAGAAUGUUGCAAGGUUAACGAUACACGGUUGUGACGAUAUUUUUAUAUCAUGACUGUAUCGGACUUGUUGGAACAACCUUGCCACAAGUUUGAUAAUGCCGUCAAGCUUGUUAUGAUAAUGCCGUCAAGCUUGUUACAACUGUUAACAAGUCGUUCAAACUUGUUGACAACUUGAGACAAGCAGUGCGAACACAACUUGUUGACGGCUUGUUGGUAGACUUGCUACAAGAUGCGAGAUUUUUGCGAAUGAAGUCCUAAUUUUACCUUCAUCAACCUUGUAACAAGGUGUUAACAACUUGGUCCAAACUUGGCACAGCAACUGAAUCUAAAUUUGCCUGAUAUAUUUCCACAGGCAACCCUAAAGAAAUGUCGUCAAACAUUGAAAGAAGUACGUCACUACCAGCGCUCAUUGCGCAUGAGCAAUGAUAGUCUUGAGUUGAUGGCAGAUAACUUAACGUCCUUGGUGGAAAAUUUGAAGACAAAAUCUGAAGAAAGAAUGGAACAUUUCAAGAAAGAAAAAGAUUUUAUGCAGUCACUUGUCAAGGUAUUUUCUUGGCGCUAUACAGGGUGUAUAAAAAAAAACUGGACAAAUUUAAAAUUGCUCUCAAUUUCGCAAAACAGCUAUUUGUAUCCGGUUUUUUAUAUAUAUAGCCUCUUUGGGUGCUUAUAAUGUAGAAUAAUGAGAAAAAUUUCUCAAACUCAAAUUUUGUGAACCAGGGGGGUGUGUCUUUUCCAACAAACUAAAAAUGGCUCGCGCACAAAAUUUAAAAGCUGCAAUCAUAUUUUGAGUUAACAGAUGGAAAAUUUGUCGGGUUUUUAAUUACUGUACAAAAUUUCAGACAAUUUGGUUUAGUUUAAGCCCCUUAACUAUUCACGCAAAGUUACAAUUUUCCCGAAAAAUCAGCUAUUUGCAUGCUUAAUUAAUGCAUUUGCCUAAUUUGCAUAUGUCAGCAAUAUGCAAAUUAGAUAAAGGCAUUAAUUAAGCAUGCGAAAGGCUGACUUUUUAGAACAAAAUGAAUAGUUAAAGGGCUUAAACUAAACCAAAUUGUCUGAAAUUUUGUACAGUAAUUAAACACCCGACAAAUUUUCAAUCUGUUAACUCAAAAUAUGAUUACAGCUUUCAAAUUUUGUGCGCGAGCCAUUUUUAAUUUGUUGGAAAAGACACACCCCCCUGGUUCACAAAAUUUGAGUUCGAGAAAUUUUUUUCAUUGUUUUACAUUAUAAGUACCCAAAGAAGCUAUAUAUAUAAAAAAACAGAUACAAAUAGGUGUUUUGCGAAAUUGAGAGCAAUUUCAAAUCUGUUCAGUUUUUUUAUACACCCUGUAGAACGGACAAGCAGUUAUUGGAUAAGGUUUUUGUCAUAUGACAGAAUUAUUAAGAUCGAGGUAAGUGUUAUCAGUCGAGCAGAAGGUAAGAUUGGUAACACUUACUGAGACCUUGAUAAUUCGGAUGUCACGAAAACCGAAUUCACCAUAACAGCAUAAAAAUAUUAAAAUAUCAUAGUAACAGCAUAAAAAUAUUGGAAAUCUCAUUUUUCUAGCUACUAAAGUUCCAAUAAAAAGGGCUGCUUUUUGCACAACAAAAUUCACAAAAAUGCCGUUCGUUUAUGUUGUUUUUUCUGAUAUUCGGAAUCAGAAGACAUGUACUGACUACAAUGUAUAAUAAUAUGAAUUAAACUGAACUGAACUAAACCAAUUCUAAUGUGUUAUCUUAAAUUUUUAAUUUCAGGCUGAAAGUUGGUGUGAAAAGGCCAGUGAUCUCUGGCCUGCAAAUCAAAUCCCCAGUACGACACAAGAAAACGUUCAUUUCUCGCCGUCAAGGUUAACUGAUUCGAAGAAUAAAUUUGAGGUCUUCUUGGAAAGGCAUCCGCCACUGACCUGUAAAGAAUUGGAACCCUUGCUGGACUAUGUGGACAAUAUUGAUGACCUCGAGUUACGCAACCGUGCUCGGUUGCUAGGGAACCGUUGUCAAGAACUGGAAAGAAUCUUACGAGCCCACGAAAUGCAUCGUGGUGAUGUCAGCGGCGAAGAAUUGAGGUAUGACGUAUGAAUUAUUGAAACGAGUGUGAAAAUACAAAAAGCAGUUCACCAAAAGCAAAGUGCAAUGAAAUUGGUUACAACGGGCUUUCACAAGUUCAUGAGCGUUGAGAAGCGAGAGUUUGUAUCAGAGUUGAUGAUAGUUGAGAAGCGAGAGUUUGCAUGAGAGUUGAUGAGAGUUGAGCACGUGUAAAUACUCAGAGUGGUUUAGUUAAAUAUAUUGGUUAAGUAUGUAAACUGAUCAAACAGCCAUGUUUUCAAAUAUACUGUACUUUAACAAGCAAAUUUACUGUACUGUGCUGCAGCAACUGUCCAGUCACGGCGUCACGCAUACGUGGUAAAAAGCCGAUAUAAACUUUAUAAACUAAGAGAUAAAUGUAAAACGUAACACAACUGCGGAACAUCUCAAAUAAUGGUAAUGUUGGGAUAUUAGCGUUGCAGACUGUAGAAAAGAGUGGGCAGUAAGGCUCCCUCAUUUACCACCCCAUGGAAAAUCUGCACUUCUCCUUGCAGAUGAGGCUAGAUCCGUACCUGAUCCUCAUCAACUCUCGCGAGCUCUUUUUCUCGUUUUAUUUGAUCGGGCUUGAAGUAUCUUCUUUUAUUUACAGCUCAGAUCAAGAGUCAUCUCAUCAUGGGAAUUCAUUGCCAAAACGUCGGGUACAUUUACGCUCAACAAUUUCAUCCACAGAUGUAUCAAGUAAACGCUGGCACGAUGAUGUCAUGAGCUCGACCACUAUAUCGAAUGAUGACGUCACCAGGUCCAAGGCUACAGAUGUGGGGACUGGGGACGGGAAUUCCCGCUUGGCUGAUAUCCGACGAAGGCUACGAGAUCAGGAAUUAUUGUACGAACAGCUGAUACUUGAGGAGGAACUCAGAGAGGUAGCUGAAAAAGGCGGGGAGGGAAACUUUAGUUCGGAACAAGAAGACAUCAAUCUUGGUUCAAGUCUGGAUAGAAGUUUAGAACAUCAAAAUGGAAAAGCUUUUGAAAAAGGCAACAUUUCAAAACAAGACAAAGUGCCACAAUCAAGAAAUGAAAUGCAAGGAGCGACGAAUUUAUGGAAUGGAGGGUCAAGUUUAAUGAAUUUAACUUCGACGCUAAACAGAAGUAGCGAAACUGAAAAAAUGAACAGUUUGUUCAAACCUUCUGCUGGUCGUACAAAAGAAACUGCCAAUAGAAACGCUGACAAAAAGAAAGCUACGAUAGGUUUACUUCCAAAGGAUUCCCACAACACAGGUUGUUUUGACAGUGGAUAUUUGGUUAAAGGUUUAAGAUCAGAAAAGCAUGGUAAUAGAAAUCCACCGUCUCAUAUUGAUUUGUUGGAUGGAUGCAGUAGUCUGAAACGAUUAUGCGAACUUGGAAAUCCUUUAGCACAAAAUAAUUCCAUUACAGCAUUUGGAACAUAUCGCAAUCAAGACAAAAGGCAUAUAGAUAAUCUGUCCACUCAAAUUUCUACCAAUCCCGUUUUGUCAAGUAAUAAUGUUAGCGUGUUCUUGAAUGAAAGCGUCUUUGGAGUAUCAAAUGAAUCACAUUCGAAAGAUUUUCAAACUUCUACCAGUUACCCUGAAAAUAGUUCACGUGAUCACAAAGAAAGUUCAUAUGGUCUCGAAAAUCGUUCAGAUUAUCCAAAAAGUAGUUCACGUGAUUUUGAAAAUUUUUCACGUGACCGCGAAAAUAAAUCGCGUGAUGACGAAAAUAUAUCACGUGAUGAUAAAUCACGUGAAGUGCUCUUAAAGAAUGCCAGAGAAGCGAUUGACCACUGGACGCGUAUCAAGAAUGAACAACGCGUGCGGCUUGCGCAAGUGAUCGAUGCUAUCGCGACAAGAAAUGAAAUAGAAGAAACGUAUUUCAAUGCUCAAAUACAACUUUGUCGAGCUAGGCAGAAUGUUGCCAAGUUAAGCAAAUCAGACACUAGCCUUGCGUCACUUCCGUUAAACAAUGAUGCCAUAAAUUGCAAUAUUGCGUCAUCGUUUAAUUCAUCAUUUGGUUUGGGCACAAGUGGGGGUCAGAUUCUCAAUGGUGAGGGAGCAUUUCGGAAGUUUGUCAAGAAUGAUGUUGGUGUUGAACAAAUUUCGAAUUCGGAUGAGACAAAGGGGAUGAUGCUAGAUCAUGAGAGGUCUUUAGGGAUAACUGGGGUGAAUGGUGGUGUUGAAAAGGAGAUGGUACUUGAUAACGAGGAUUCAUUAGGGGUAACUGGACAUAUUAUUAAGCAGGACAUUCGAGAGCCACGGGAUUCGAAGGAGGUCUCUGGUGAUUUUACGAAUUUAUCACAUACAGAAGACCGUGUACUACUCCAGGAGAAUGGUGACGGGUUUGAUUCCGAGCAGGGAUCUAGUGACGAGUUUGAUGAUGACGUAGAAGAGGAAGAAUUAAUGUUGUUAUGCAGUCAGUCGUCCAGCGGUUUGCAAUCACAAGACGAGCUGAAAGACAGUUUGCAGGAAGAACAGGCGAAACUGGAAGAAAUGUUUCGACAACAGAAACAACAGUUGAGAAUGGAACGAGAAAAAUUGAUAGAAGAGGAAAAAAGAAUUAACGAAUGGGAAAAAGGGAAAUUGGAAUUAAAAGGAGAGAGCUUGUCAAUGGUUAGUGGAAAUUUGAAUGUUGAAGGGAGUAACGAAACUCUUCAAUUUGGAAAUACUGAGAAUAAUAUUAUGGGCAAGAUUGGCGAUAAUCCCUUACGCAAAGAUUCCCAACCACACGUUCGCCAACAACCAAAGAUUCCCAAUCACCUUCAGAACGAAACAGAGCAACUACAACACGGAAUACCUCAAAUCAACGGUAUAAACGGGUCACAGCGGCAUGAAAUGCCUGCAUCACCGCACAAGAUACUCGAGCAUGCCGUGCUUGAUGUACAGCACGAUAUAUGUGACACAGAACACGACACGAAUUUCCCUCCUGCACCACGGCACGAAAUACCUUCACCACAACACGAAAUUCCUGCACUACAGAACGAACGAACUAGUCUGGAAAACGAACAGCGAGAACAACAGCAUGAAAUAGAGCGCAGAAAUUUGCCUGGACACGAAGAAAAGUCGCAACACAAAAUGCAAGAAAAAGAACGAGGAAUUGAGCAUUCGCGGCACGUGCAUGAUGGAGCCAAACAAAAACAAUCUUCGUAUUUUGAAGCAUUAAAACAAAAAGAUAUCUUGCCAACACAUAUGAAAUCUGUUGAUCAAAAUACUCAUACAACGACAUUUCGGGCAUCGAAAGAUUCCCCAGAAAGGACCGUUGAUGAAACUAUCAGAAUUGAAAGUGACGUGAACGACCUAAGUCAGAUUGUUGUCAGUAAUUUCAAUUCAGACAAUGAGAGUAGAAACGAAAUCGAGGAGGAAUUGAUCAACAUUUUACAAGAUAGAACAUUAGAAACGGAAGGAGAAUCAUCUGAAGAACGAGACCAAGAAUUUGGGCCAAACGUUCCGCCAUCGGGAAUGGAUGGCAGUCCUCCCACCAUGUUAGAUGAUAAUGCUGAUAUUGAUUUGAUGAAUCAGCUUAUUGAUGAUUUAAUGAUUAACGAUCACGAUAGAGCUAAUCAGGAUGACUAUAAUAGGGUUAGUCUGGAUAGUGCGCAAGUGAGCGGGGGUGAUCAUAGGGUAGGUGUUGAUAAUGAUAGGGUAAAUGUGGAUAAUGACAGCUUGAGUGAGGGCAGUAUAGGGGUAGAUGUUGAUAAUUUUGGUAUAAAUUUGGAUGACGAUGAUGUGAUAAAUCAAGAUGAUAUAAAUAUAGCUGUUGAAAGUAAUAUGAUAAAUGGGGAUAAUGAUAGCAUAAGUGAAGGUGAUAUAGGGGUAGAUGUUGAUAAUGUGGUAAAUUUAGACGAUUUGGGCAUAAAUGAGGUUGACGUCGAUUUGGGUGAUCUUGGUAAGAAAGUUGAUAAACCAGAAGCGAAUGUGGAUAAUUAUUUGAUAGACUCAAACAUUGCUGAUGCUGGAAUAAAUAAGGAUGGUUCUGAACUGAAUGACGAUAACUGUGAUGUUCUUGGUGAUAAGAUUGCUUUAGGUUUUGAUCAUGGGACAAAGAGGAUACGGAACGAUUCUGACGAUUUUCGGUCCGGGGAUCGUGUAAAAGCGGAAGAGAUGCCUUAUGAUAUGAACGAGAGAGCCCGAAGUGGAGGAAUGGGACUCGAUGUUGACUUUACUAUAGAUCUGAGCAAGGACAGUGAGGCGAUCCAAAACAAUGAUCUUAUAGGGUUACUCAACAGUCACGAAGCGACAUCUGAUGACGAUAAAACGCUUCAAGAGAGCGAGAGUCCACGAAAUGAAGAAUUGGGACUCGAUGUUGACUUCACUAUAGACCUGAACGAGGACUGUAAAACGGUUGAAGGGAAUGAUCUGAUAGACUUACUACGUAAUCAGAGUGAUGCAUUCUCUAGUCAAGAAAGCCUUGAUGUAGAUGACAAUAAUUUCUCAGAGGGAAAUUCUGAAAUGUCUGAAACCUUUAAGGCUGAACGCAGUGGUCGACUACUUGGGACAAAUAGCAACAGCAUGAGGAAGGGAACAUUGGAACAAGAAGAUAACCUUUGUGGACUCCAGCCAC
rnacentral:lncRNA from 1 species